rnacentral:rRNA from 1 species
CCCAGUGGUGGGGGAUAACUGCGGGAAACUGCAGCUAAUACCGCAUGAGCCCGAGAGGGGAAAGAUUUAUCGCCAUGGAGGAGCCCGCGUUCGAUUAGGUAGUUGGUGAGGUAACGGCUCACCAAGCCUACGAUCGAUAGCUGGUCUGAGAGGAUGAUCAGCCACACUGGGACUGAGAUACGGCCCAGACUCCUACGGGAGGCAGCAGUGGGGAAUAUUGGACAAUGGGGGCAACCCUGAUCCAGCAAUGCCGCGUGAGUGAUGAAGGCCUUCGGGUUGUAAAGCUCUUUUGCCAGGGACGAUGAUGACGGUACCUGGAGAAUAAGCCCCGGCUAACUUCGUGCCAGCAGCCGCGGUAAUACGAAGGGGGCAAGCGUUGUUCGGAAUUACUGGGCGUAAAGGGCGCGUAGGCGGCUUAUCAAGUCAGGCGUGAAAUUCCCGGGCUCAACCUGGGGGCUGCGUUUGAUACUGAUGAGCUUGAAUGCGGGAGAGGAUAGUGGAAUUCCCAGUGUAGAGGUGAAAUUCGUAGAUAUUGGGAAGAACACCGGUGGCGAAGGCGGCUAUCUGGCCCGUAAUUGACGCUGAGGCGCGAAAGCGUGGGGAGCAAACAGGAUUAGAUACCCUGGUAGUC